rnacentral:tRNA from 1 species
GUUUUAAUAGUUUAAGCUAAAAUUUUGGUCUUGUAAAUCAAAAAUAAAUAUUUUUAUUUUUAAAACU